CAGGGGCCAGCGGCGGCAGGAGGCCCGAUCUUCCCAUGUUGAUUCCUGAAAGAGUGGCCAAGGCACAUGGGCUCGUGGCCAGGAUUCAUUCAUCCAUUCACUCCGGCAUUUACUGAGCGCCUACAAUGCGUCAGGCACGUGGGGCUCGAACACCAAAACUCCCUUCUGAAGAGGGCUUUCUGGAUCAUCCCAACCCCAAUUUCUUGAUCUUCAACGAAUCAAGGAAAGAGAGAAUGAGGAAGGAACAACAGAGAGAGAGAGGCCACCGCUCACACCGCAAACUCACAGGCAGGAUUCCGCACUGCCAGUGACACCAAGCCAAGGUUCAAGAGACCUCUAGCGGCACCUCUCUUGGCGCCCUGGCUGAUACACCAGGCAAUCAACCGUGUCUCCAUUUUUGCAUUAGCCACUGAAAAUGCUCAGAACUGAUUUUGCAUCUUUCCUACGAGCCACAGGACCUUUGGCCAAGUCACUUAAACUCCAUGAGCCUAAAUCUCCGGGUGGGGUUAAUUACCACCUGUCUCUUAAGGUAGCUGUGGAAAUAAAAUGAAAGAUUAUGAUAUAAUUUAUUAAGCAUAUAUAUUAAUUAUUGAGUACCUAUUAUGUGCCCGGCACAUGCCUUAUUUAUUUAUUUAUUUAAUAUGUUUAUAAAUAUUUUAUAUAUACUUCAUAUAUACUUAUGUAUUUAUAUCAUUCCAUAUAUAUUUUUUAUAUUUAUGUAUUUUUAUAUAUAACAUAUAUGUGUGUGUUUGAGAGUUGUUUGUGGGAAGGAGUUGUAAUUCACCUCAAUAUCAUGGAGCAGAGCAGGUAAAAAAAUAAUAAUAAUAACGAAAUGAAGACUUAAUUUACUCUUUCUGGACUCCACAACAACGCUGGUGUGUGUUUCAGGCAAACUUCGUUGGCUGCAAG